AGCUCCAAUAGCGUAUAUUAAAGUUGUUGCGGUUAAAAAGCUCGUAGUUGGAUUUCUGCCGAGGACGACCGGUCCGCCCUCUGGGUUGGUAUCUGGCUCGGCCUGGGCAUCUUCUUGGAGAACGUUCUGCAUUUCAUUAUGUGGGGCGGUAUCCAGGACUUUUACUUUGAGGAAAUUAGAGUGUUUCAAGCAGGCUUUAGCUUUGAAUACUGUAGCAUGGAAUAAUAAUAUAGGACCUCGGUUCUAUUUUGUUGGUUUCUAGAACUGUGGUAAUGAUUAAUAGGGAUAGUUGGGAGAAUUAGAAUUGCGUUGUCAGAGGUGAAAUUCUUGGAUUUACGCAAGACUGACUAAUGCGAAAGCAUUUUCAAGGAUGUUUUCA
rnacentral:rRNA from 1 species